AACCUGAGAGAACAGCUCAGGUGACAACCUCAAAAAAAGUGCACCAACGUGGGUUCAGAGCUGAAGGAAAUGGCUACAGGUGUUUUCGGAAGGUUGUGCGGGAAAGCCAGUGGAUCUUGUGACAUGUUUGCGCAUCCUGCAGAUUAAUAACUAGGAGAGCAAUCGUUGGAAAUGUGUCUGUUAAUGAAUAAACGCGUUUUAUGGAGAAGUUUUCCUGAACGGAAUCCAACAAUGUUUUCCCGUUCUCCUCGUCGGCACUGGAUCGGCACAUAAAAGAGCCUGUUUGGCUAAACAGCUUCAUUCAUGUCGGUGAGGCAUUUUUUCUCUUUGAACGGGGGCUUUUGAGCCUCUGGACGGGGCUUUCCGUAGGUUCUGCCUCCAAAUCACACCCAGAGACUCUACCCGAUCUCUCAUUGUGGAAAUUGGAUCGAUUGGAUCCGGGUGCAGAAAUGAGAAGUUUUGGAUUUUUCAUGUCUGCGACAGACUGGUGACCCAUCCAAGCUGAGCCCCGCCUACGCCCAUCAGUGGCAUGGAUAGGCUCCAGCAACCCCGUUUGCUUGGAGUAAUGGAUGGAGGAUGGAUUCUUCAGGUCCAAACGUGCUUCAUGGUUGAAUAAAUGGCAUGAAUUUAGCUGGUGAACUUAUUAACUCUGGUGGGCUUUUGUAUUAACUUUCUGCAUUACAUAUUUCUUGGGUCUCUCUAAAAUGCAGACAGCCUCUCUUCAAGCUCCUCCUCACAUCCGAUAAGUUGUGCAGACAGUUAUACUGUAUAUCAGCAUGACCCAGAUGCAGGACAGAUAGGGCAAAGCUCAGUGAAGAACUUGUAAUUUAAUAACAAAAAUAUGUAAAAUAAUGAAAAAACUGUUUUCUUGUCACCAUGUCACCACUUUCGCCAAUCCGGAUUGAACCUGAAGGAAGUUCACUCACCUUCUACCUGAGCGUGGGCUCGGGAGAAUCUGCCAAUCAGACUUUUGAACUGUUCAAUGUGGCAGAAUCAAAGAUGGGCAGGUCAACUAAUUUACCAUUGGCUAAUGAAUGAAUGUUUCACUCAGGAUAGUUUGCUAAUACCUUAUCCUUAUUAGCUAUCAUCUGCUAUCAUCCUACACUGGGCCCUAUGUUUGUUUGUUUUUUAUCUUUCUGAAAUAAAGUAUUAUAUGUCUUUUAUAGAAA